UCUCCCUCUCUUCUUUUUUUGCCAUUUUUGGUUCUCUCUCCCACAGCUGAAGGCUCCUUUAUGCUCUGUUGGUGUUUCUUCUUCCCUCUUCAAUGGUAAUCUUAUUUUAUCUAAUUCACAGAUCAAAUUCAGCCAUAUGAACACUUCAAAUGCACUGAACCGAUGGAAUAGAACCAUUGCGUUCACAAAGAGAUUCUACCGUACAAAUAGCAUCUAUGGCUCAAAUUUGGUGGAUUCCCGUUCCGUUAAAACGGGAUUCGACGUAGAGACUAGUCGCUACAAUUUCCAGUUGAAGAAUUUUCUCAGACAUAGCCAAUUCUCCGAGGCACGCAAACUGUUCGACGAAAUGCCUCGGAAAAAUACGUGCUCUGUGAACAUGAUGAUUUCCUGCUACCUCAAGUCGGACAAUCUUUCUCAUGCUAGGGAGCUGUUUGAUAAUAUGGGUGACAGAACAGCGGUAUCUUGGACGAUACUGAUUGGUGGUUACGCGAAGAGCAAUCAACCUAUCGAAGCUUUUAAUCUUUAUGUUGAUAUGUUUAGGACAGGGGUGAAACCAGACGAAAUCACUAUUGCAACUCUUUUAUCUAGCUGUGACGAAAAAAUUACCCGAAAAGACGUAUGUCAAGUCCACGCGCAUAUCACCAGAUUAGGAUUUGGCUCUGACCUUACAGUGUGUAACAGCUUAGUCGAUUCUUACUGCAAAUCUCAGAGUCUUGAUCUAGCAGUUCGGCUCUUUGAAGAAAUGAUCACGAGAGAUACGAUUACUUUCAACACAUUGAUAACGGGGUUUGCUAAAGAAGGGCUGAAUGAACCGGCAAUAAAGCUCUUUUCAGAAAUGCAGUAUCACGGUUUUAGGCCUUCGGAUUUCACCUUUGCUGCGAUUCUGCGUGCUUGUGUCGGUUUGGAUGGUACUACCCUCGGGCAACAGGUCCACGGACUGGUUGUCAAGAGUAACUUUGUGCACGAUGUAUUUAUCGGAAAUGCGCUUCUUGAUUUUUACUCCAAGCAUGAUUAUAUUGAAGACAUGCGAAAAUUCUUUGAUGAAAUGCCGGAGUUGGAUGGUGUUUCUUACAAUAUUGUCAUAACAAGUUACGCAUGGAACGGACAACUCAAAGAAUCCCUCAAUCUCUUCAGAGAGUUGCGGUUAAGCAAGUUUAGUAGAAGAAACUUUCCUUUUGCGACUAUGCUGAGUACAGCGGCAAACACACAACAUAUAGAGAUGGGAAGGCAAAUCCACACGCAGGCAAUCAUGACAACAGCUGAUACAGAAAUUCAAGUGGGGAAUUCCCUCGUAGACAUGUACGCGAAAUGUGGCAGGUUUGACGAAGCAAAUGUUAUAUUCAAAAAUUUGGCCGGCAGAACCUCUGUUCCUUGGACUGCCCUGAUAUCGGGAUAUGUUCAACAAGGCCUAAACAAUGAAGCCCUUAAGCUGUUUAACGAAAUGCGUAGAAACAAUGUUUGUGGCGACCAAGCAACUUUUGCGAGUACUUUGAGAGCCUCAGCAAACUUGGCUUUGCUUUCACUAGGGAAGCAAUUCCACUCGUGCAUAAUCGGUAGCGGAUUCCUAUCAAAUAUUUUCUGCGGUAGUGCACUCUUGGACAUGUACGCUAAAUGCGGAUCGUUAAAAGACGCAAUAUCAAUUUUCAGACACAUGCCUGAGAGGAACUCAAUCUCAUGGAAUGCAAUGAUUUCGGCAUACGCUCAAAACGGAGACGUCAAAGCCACUUUACGGUCCUUUGAGCAGAUGGUACAAUCGGGCCUUCAACCCGAUCCAGUUAGCUUCCUUGGUGUUCUAACUGCAUGUAGCCACUGCGGGCAUGUCGACGAAGCACUGCAGUAUUUCAACACCAUGACUCAGACAUACAAACUCGCUCCAAGGAAAGAACACUACGCGUCUUUAGUAGACGUGCUCUGCAGAAGGGGCCGAUUUAACGAAGCAGAGUCUUUGAUGGCUCGAAUGCCAGUCAAGCCAGACGAAAUCAUGUGGUCUUCGAUUUUAAAUUCGUGUAGAAUCCACAAGAAUCAAGAAUUCGCUAAGAAAGCCGCUGACGAACUAUUUAGCCUCGAUGUGCUUAGAGAUGCCGCUGCUUAUGUCACCAUGUCUAAUAUUUACGCAGAGGCAGGGGAAUGGGAACAUAUGGCAAAUGUGAAGAAAGCCAUGCGAGAUAGAGGGGUUCGAAAAGUGCGUGCUUAUAGCUGGGUUGAAAUCGCACGCAAAGUUCAUAUCUUUUCAGCCAAUGAUAGGAGCCACCCACUAAACGAGGAGAUAAGAAUAAAGAUAAACGAUUUGUCCGAACAGAUGGAAGAGAAAGGGUACAAGCCGGACUUGAGUUGUGUUCUUCAAAAUGUCGACGAUGUAAUGAAAGCAGAAUCGCUUAAGUAUCAUAGUGAAAGGCUGGCAAUUGCAUUUGCUUUGAUCAGUACUCCAGAGGGUUCGCCUGUACUGGUAAUCAAAAACUUGAGGGCUUGCGUGGAUUGCCAUGCUGCAAUUAAGGUGAUUUCGGAGAUUGUUCGGAGGGAAAUUACUGUCAGAGAUUCUAGUAGGUUCCACCAUUUUAAAGAUGGGGUUUGUUCGUGUGGGGAUUAUUGGUGACAUUUCGAUUAUAUACGGACAUCUUCGAUAUGGCUUGCUGUCUGCAUCUUUUGCCCCCAUUGAUUACGCUUCGAGGUUUUUUUAAUUUUUUUUUUCUUGCAUCGUUUUUAGUACAUAUACAUAAGACCCGAUGCGCUCGUUAUUCCCUCUCCAAUUUUCUUUUUCCUUUUUACUUUCCCCCUUUGCUAGUAAACGACACCACCUCAAUGAGUUCUUCCAAUCAAAUGUCGCCAAUAAUUUCUUUUCCAUUUAUUUUGAGGCUGCUCGAAACUUUUCGGCCAAUCUGGCGCCCUUUCGUUUCUCUUUGUUCAUUUUUUUUUUCUUCGACCGGUAUUGUACCAUCGUCCGGCGUUAUAAUGUUAUUCAGCGAUUUCUUUCGCUAACCAGGAAUAAUUAUUUCGAUUCAAGUUUUGAUUGAUGGGUUCCAUUUACAAUCUCUGGCAGCAACACAAUCAGAUUUUGUAGGAUUGUCACGCUCGAUACGCAAAUAGGUGUAAUCGUGAGAACACGUGACGAUUAGCAAAUGACGGAGGCUAUCCUAAUUUCGAUUCAGAAAAAUUCGAAAGAAAUUGUGUAUCAAGAUUUUCGAAAUUUGGAAUAAAAAAUAUUGUUCCAAAUUCGAAUUUUUUUGGACUAGAACCAUCCAAAAAACAAAAUGAAAUCUUCGUAUGGUUUUAAUUACAAGAAAGCCAUGUUGCAAUAAUGUAAUAAUACUGUCCAAAAAUAAUAAAAAAGUAUAA